rnacentral:lncRNA from 1 species
CGCUGCUCCUCGGUGUCCCCGAGUGAACCCUCCGUCGUUACAAAGCCCGGCGCUGUGUGGUGCGUGCCGCCCGUAGCCGCCGUGCCUCGUUCGGGGCGGGCGGGACUCGGCCCGCCGCCACCCUGCUGCCUCCUCCAUACGGUUCUAUAGCAAAUGUCCGCUUCUGAUCGCUUUAUCCGGGCUGAGUUUAAAGAUGCCUUCUGAAGAGAGCAAGGAUACGUCUGCCUUACUGCGGAAUUUUACUUUCCUCUUAAUUAUUGAGUGCCUCGUUUGCAGGGUUGAGGAUGUGGUGGUAUCUGAGUGACUGAGCUGAGGUUCGUAGCGGGCUGAGAGCGCUGCCCCCUCAUCCCACAGCUGGGCACUCCCUGCUGUUGGCAGCUUCAGACCUGAGGAGAAGGGGAGGGGAUGGCGCGGGGUGCCGGCAGCAGGCGUCCUCCUUGGGGAGGAAGGGCAGAAGAUGCGAGCGGAGUUGGAUGUUUCUUACCACGGUGACCGUGUUGUACAUUGCCUUAUAUUAAUGGUGAAUAUUUAAUCCCAGUAGUUUGUGAAGAAGCUGAGUGUGCUUAGAGGAAACAGGUAAGGGGAGACAAGGACAUCUGUGAGCAGUGCUGGAAGGUGAGCCAGCUGGCAUACAGACUCACAGUAAGGUGGAGUGUUGAGACAGAGUUUUACAAGUAUGCACUUUUACAGGAGAGGAGCUUUAAGUGGUCUUUUGAGGGACUGAGAUCAGGGUUUGUUUUCUUUAGCGGUGUGUGACUGCAGUCACUGUUAAGUCCAUCACAGGGGUGGAGUCAGACAAACAAAUGUGGCUGAUUUGUUAUUUCCCUGGGUGCUGUGAGCGGUCACUGAACCUCCAGUAGGCCACUCCUGUGUCAUUCCACAGCUGAGGAGGAAAAGAGCGGAUGCAUAGUAAUAAAUGCACGAAGGUCCAGUCUGCACUGUGCUGCGUGCGCUCCGACUGGAGCCCAGGGUGGCACACAAUGUACCCUGCUGGUAGAGGACGUCUGAGUGUUGAUCUCACCAAUCAGCUCGUGGAGUUCCUGGGGCUAAGGGGCAGCUUCCCUUAAGGAAGUGCUUCCUUUACAACGUCCUUCUGGGCAGCUAAACCACUGUGAAUGCACAGUGCCUGUGCACGUGUUUUCAUUCUGUUUGCCCUUUACAUUGUGAUGCCUUUCUGUGAUUCAGAG